AUUGAACGCUGGCGGCAGGCCUAACACAUGCAAGUCGAACGAGUGGCGGACGGGUGAGUAAUGUCUGGGACACUGCCUGAUGGAGGGGGAUAACUACUGGAAACGGUAGCUAAUACCGCAUACCAUCGGAUGUGCCCAGAUGGGAUUCGCUAGAAGGUGGGGUAAAGGCUCACCUAGGCGACGAUCCCUAGCUGGUCUGAGAGGAUGACCGUCCACACUGGAACUGAUCCACGGGCCAGACGCCUACGGGAGGCAGCAGUGGGGAAUAGUGCACAAUGGGCGCAAGCCUGAUGCAGCCAGGCCGCGUGUAUGAAGAAGGCUUUCGGGUUGUAAAGUACUUUCAGCGGGGAGGCGUUACCCGCAGAAGAAGCACCGGCUAACUCCGUGCCAGCAGCCGCGGUAAUUC
rnacentral:rRNA from 1 species